rnacentral:rRNA from 1 species
UACGUAGGGUGCAAGCGUUGUCCGGAAUUAUUGGGCGUAAAGAGCUCGUAGGCGGUCUGUCGCGUCUGCUGUGAAAACUCAGGGCUUAACCCUGAGCUUGCAGUGGGUACGGGGCAGACUAGAGUGCGGUAGGGGGAGACUGGAAUUCCUGGUGUAGCGGUGAAAUGCGCAGAUAUCAGGAGGAACACCGGUGGGCGAAGGCGGGGUCUCUGGGCCGUAACUGACGCUGGAGGAGCGAAAAGCAUGGGGAGCGAACAGG